rnacentral:rRNA from 1 species
CUACGGGAUGCAGCAGUGGGGAAUAUUGGACAAUGGGGGAAACCCUGAUCCAGCAAUGCCGCGUGUGUGAAGAAGGCCUGCGGGUUGUAAAGCACUUUCGGUUGGGAGGACUGCUUCUAGCACUAAUAUUGUUGGAAGUUGACGUUACCUUCAGAAGAAGCACCGGCUAACUCCGUGCCAGCAGGCCGCGGUAAUACGGAGGGUGCAAGCGUUAAUCGGAAUUACUGGGCGUAAAGCGCGCGUAGGCGGCUAGAUCAGCCGGGUGUGAAAGCCCCGGGCUUAACCUGGGAACUGCAUCCGAUACUGUCUAGCUUGAGUACAGGAGAGGAGAGUGGAAUUCCACAUGUAGCGGUGAAAUGCGUAGAUAUGUGGAGGAACACCAAUGGCGAAGGCAGCUCUCUGGCCUGAUACUGACGCUGAGGUGCGAAAGCGUGGGGAGCAAACAGGAUUAGAUACCCCUGUAGUC